GCUGGUAGCGUGGAUUAGGCAUGCAAGUCGAACGGGAUCCGGGAGGUAGCAAUACGUCCUGGUGAGAGUGGCGGAUUGGGGAGGAACACGUGAGCAACCUGCCUUGGAGUCGGGGAAAACCGUUGGAAACGACGGCUAAUACCGGAUGUGGCGCCUGGCGACAUCGCCGGAGCGCUAAAGGGGGCCGCAAGGCUCUCGCUCCUAGAGGGGCUCGCGCACCAUCAGCUUGUUGGCGGGGUAACGGCCCACCAAGGCCUACGGUUAGCUGGUCUGAGAGGAUGACCAGCCCCACUGGGACUGAGAUACUGCCCAGACUCCUACGGGAGGCUGCAGUCGAGGAUCAUUUGCAAUGGGCGAAAGCCUGACAAUGCGACGCUGCGUGGAAGGAUGAAGGCCUUCGGGUUGUAAACUCCUGUCAUGGGGGAACAGGCGAGGGGACCCAAUACGUCCCUUAGUUGAGUGUACCCCAAGAGGAAUUGGCGGCUAACUCUGUGCCAGCAGCCGC
rnacentral:rRNA from 1 species